GUCCCUGUAGCGCAAAGAAUAACGCGUUGGACUUCUAAUCCAAAGGUCAUGGAUUGGAAUCCCACUUGGGAUG